GCUCUGGUAGUGCAAUGGUUAAGUGCUCAGCUACUAACUGAAAGGUCAGUGGUUCGAACCCACCCCGCAGCU
rnacentral:tRNA from 1 species